rnacentral:rRNA from 1 species
UAGGGAAUCUUCGGCAAUGGGGGGAACCCUGACCGAGCAACGCCGCGUGAGUGAAGAAGGUUUUCGGAUCGUAAAGCUCUGUUGUUAAGGAAGAACGAGUGUGAGAAUGGAAAGUUCAUGCUGUGACGGUACUUAACCAGAAAGGGACGGCUAACUACGUGCCAGCAGCCGCGGUAAUACGUAGGUCCCGAGCGUUGUCCGGAUUUAUUGGGCGUAAAGCGAGCGCAGGCGGUUAGAAAAGUCUGAAGUGAAAGGCAGUGGCUCAACCAUUGUAGGCUUUGGAAACUGUUUAACUUGAGUGCAGAAGGGGAGAGUGGAAUUCCAUGUGUAGCGGUGAAAUGCGUAGAUAUAUGGAGGAACACCGGUGGCGAAAGCGGCUCUCUGGUCUGUAACUGACGCUGAGGAGCGAAAGCAUGGGGAGCGAACAGG